AUAGCCCUAGGUGGCAGUCACUGUCAUCCUCCCCAUUUCACAAAUGAGUAAGUCAGGGUACAGAGAGAUGAGGUAACUUGCCAACAGUCAAGCAGCUGCCAAAUGACAGAGCUAUAUAUGGAUUCCCACAGUCUGGCUGAGCAGAGGUUUCCAUUUUUUUUGACCUCUGUCAGGUUCUGUUGCAUCUUGAUUACACAGGCAAAAAAUUUAUCACAACAAAUGCUGUUUUCUAGGAAGAGAAUGGAGACUACACAUAUGUGGAAAGAGUGAAGAUACCCUUGGAUCAUGGGACCUUGUUAAUCAUGGAAGGAGCGACACAAGCUGACUGGCAGCAUCGAGUGCCCAAAGAAUACCACUCUAGAGAACCGAGAGUGAACCUGACCUUUCGGACAGUCUAUCCAGACCCUCGAGGGGCACCCUGGUGACGUCAGAGCUUUGAGAGAGAAGCUUCACUGAAACGGAGCAAACCUUCCACUGAGAAGCCACUUCAAGAGGCUGGUGCUGCUAGAUCUCAUGAUGUGGCUGUUGGGAAGAUGGUGGGGUUUGUUUGCCAGCUUGGAGUCCUAUUAAAUGAAAGCCAGCAACUCAUGUUGGUAAUAGGUCUACUGUGGGAACAGUUAUCCCUAACCACAGCUCAAAAUCGCUAUCAUCUUUAGGCAAAUUAAAAUCUAUGUGGCAGUG
rnacentral:sRNA from 1 species